UGUCUAGGCGGUCAGGUAAGUGAGAUGUGAAAUGCCCCGGCUUACCCGGGGACCUGCAUCUCAUACUGUCUGGCUUGAGUAUGGGAGAGGAUGAGGGAAUUCCUGGUGUAGCGGUGAAAUGCGUAGAUAUCAGGAGGAACACCGGUGGCGAAAGCGCUCAUCUGGCCCAAUACUGACGCUGAAGACACAAAGGCUACGGGGGAAGGCAAAACGG
rnacentral:rRNA from 1 species